ACUCAAAUGAAUUGACGGGGGCCCGCACAAGCGGUGGAACAUGUGGUUUAAUUCGAAGCUACGCGAAAAACCUCACCAGGGCUUGACAUAUGGGAAGUAGUGAAAUGAAAGUGGAACGACCUGUCAAGUCAGGAACCUAUACAGGUGCUGCAUGGCUGUCGUCAGCUCGUGUCGUGAGAUGUUGGGUUAAGUCCCGCAACGAGCGCAACCAUUAUCCUUUGUUGCCACUCACUCCAGCUUGCUGGAUGUGAAGCACUCUAAGGAGACUGCCUGGGAUAACCAGGAGGAAGGUGGAGAUGACGUCAAGUCAGUACGGCCUUUAUGCCCUGGGCGACACACGUGUUACAAUGGGUAAGACAGAGGGUCGCCAACCCGCGAGGGGGAGCUAAUCUCUUAAAUUUAUCCUCAGUUCAGAUUGGAGUCUGCAAUUCGACUCCAUGAAGCCGGAAUCGCUAGUAAUGGCAGAUCAGCACGCUGCCGUGAAUACGUUCCCGGGCCUUGUACACACCGCCCGU
rnacentral:rRNA from 1 species